GGAGGAGUGGCCGAGUGGUUUAAGGCGCCGGUCUUGAAAAUCGGUAAUGCAAAGAAGCAUUCUAGAGUUCGAAUCUCUACUCCUCCG
rnacentral:tRNA from 1 species